rnacentral:misc_RNA from 1 species
UGUGGCGCCGAGGUCCGCGUGCCCCCCCAACCAGCGGGGGGCAACGACGCACGGCAACCAUCCGAAUGCCCGCCGCGCAACUACAUCCCCGAAGCCCGGGGGCUGCCGGGGCAUGGGCGGCCGGGUGCACACGUAAAUCCACCAGUGCCAGUACCCCGAAACCUGCACAGGGUAGGAAGCACAGGCAACACGCAGUCAGACCGCGAGGGAGGAGCUUCAGCCCGGACCUCCGGCCAACAAUGCGAAGGCGAAGUCCCCUGACGGUUGGCUGCAGGAA